rnacentral:rRNA from 1 species
CAGGCUUAACACAUGCAAGUCGAGGGGCAGCAUGGUCUUAGCUUGCUAAGGCCGAUGGCGACCGGCGCACGGGUGAGUAACACGUAUCCAACCUGCCGUCUACUCUUGGACAGCCUUCUGAAAGGAAGAUUAAUACAAGAUGGCAUCAUGAGUCCGCAUGUUCACAUGAUUAAAGGUAUUCCGGUAGACGAUGGGGAUGCGUUCCAUUAGAUAGUAGGCGGGGUAACGGCCCACCUAGUCUUCGAUGGAUAGGGGUUCUGAGAGGAAGGUCCCCCACAUUGGAACUGAGACACGGUCCAAACUCCUACGGGAGGCAGCAGUGAGGAAUAUUGGUCAAUGGGCGAGAGCCUGAACCAGCCAAGUAGCGUGAAGGAUGACUGCCCUAUGGGUUGUAAACUUCUUUUAUAAAGGAAUAAAGUCGGGUAUGGAUACCCGUUUGCAUGUACUUUAUGAAUAAGGAUCGGCUAACUCCGUGCCAGCAGCCGCGGUAAUACGGAGGAUCCGAGCGUUAUCCGGAUUUAUUGGGUUUAAAGGGAGCGUAGAUGGAUGUUUAAGUCGGUUGUGAAAGUUUGCGGCUCAACCGUAAAAUUGCAGUUGAUACUGGAUAUCUUGAGUGCAGUUGAGGCAGGCGGAAUUCGUGGUGUAGCGGUGAAAUGCUUAGAUAUCACGAAGAACUCCGAUUGCGAAGGCAGCCUGCUAAGCUGCAACUGACAUUGAGGCUCGAAAGUGUGGGUAUCAAACAGGAUUAGAUACCCUGGUAGUCCACACGGUAAACGAUGAAUACUCGCUGUUUGCGAUAUACAGCAAGCGGCCAAGCGAAAGCGUUAAGUAUUCCACCUGGGGAGUACGCCGGCAACGGUGAAACUCAAAGGAAUUGACGGGGGCCCGCACAAGCGGAGGAACAUGUGGUUUAAUUCGAUGAUACGCGAGGAACCUUACCCGGGCUUAAAUUGCAGAUGAAUUACGGUGAAAGCCGUAAGCCGCAAGGCAUCUGUGAAGGUGCUGCAUGGUUGUCGUCAGCUCGUGCCGUGAGGUGUCGGCUUAAGUGCCAUAACGAGCGCAACCCUUGUUGUCAGUUACUAACAGGUUCCGCUGAGGACUCUGACAAGACUGCCAUCGUAAGAUGUGAGGAAGGUGGGGAUGACGUCAAAUCAGCACGGCCCUUACGUCCGGGGCUACACACGUGUUACAAUGGGGGGUACAGAGGGCCGCUACCACGCGAGUGGAUGCCAAUCCCCAAAACCUCUCUCAGUUCGGACUGGAGUCUGCAACCCGACUCCACGAAGCUGGAUUCGCUAGUAAUCGCGCAUCAGCCACGGCGCGGUGAAUACGUUCCCGGGCCUUGUACACACCGCCCGUCAAGCCAUGGGAGCCGGGGGUACCUGAAGUGCGUAACCGCGAGGAGCGCCCUAGGGUAAAACUGGUGACUGGGG